UCUGGAAGUGAUAAGCGCUGAAGGCAUCUAAGCGCGAAGCAUCCCUCAAGAUUAGAUUUCCCAUCUGGUUAACAGAGUAAGAUCCCAGGAAGACUACCUGGUAGAUAGGUCACAGGUGUAAGGGCAGCAAUGUCUUCAGCUAAGUGAUACUAAUAGAUCGAGGACUUGACCAA
rfam:[Eubacterium] angustum strain DSM 1989 ETAN_contig000009, whole genome shotgun sequence.